GAUGAACGCUGGCGGCGUGCCUAAUACAUGCAAGUCGAGCGCAGAAGGGUGGUACUUGUACCAACGGGAUGAGCAGCGGACGGGUGAGUAACGCGUGGGGAACCUGCCUUUGAGCGGGGGACAACAUCUGGAAACGAAUGCUAAUACCGCAUAAAAUCUUUAAACACAAGUUUCAAGAUUGAAAGAUGCAAUUGCAUCACCCAAAGAUGAUCCCGCGUUGUAUUAGCUAGGUGGUGAGGUAAAGGCUCACCAAGGCGACGAUACGUAGCCGACCUGAGAGGGUGAUCGGCCACACUGGAACUGAGACACGGUCCAGACUCCUACGGGAGGCAGCAGUAGGGAAUCUUCCGCAAUGGGCGAAAGCCUGACGGAGCAACGCCGCGUGAGUGAUGAAGGUUUUCGGAUCGUAAAACUCUGUUAUUAGGGAAGAACAAAGGUGUAAGUAACAAUGCACGUAUUGACGGUAACUAACCAGAAAGCCACGGCUAACUACGUG
rnacentral:rRNA from 1 species